GGAAGGAGACCUUGUCCGCCCGCAAGAUUUCAGGUGAAACCCCUUCCGCAGAAGGAAGUUACUCCCAACCGAGCUUUAUCUCCUCUCCUUCUUUAAACCUGCCCUUUGAAGUUCCUCAGUCUCUCCAGAAUCACAAAGACAAAGGACUCAGUCGCAACCCAGCCUCUUCUCAGGACUGGGAUCUGUUAGCACUCAUCGCAUUCUGAGAUUUGUAGUAAAGCACCUCAGAGGGAAAAGUUCUUGCCAGUGACUGAAGGAGGCCUGGUCGUUUGGGCUCAGCAGGAACUCCAACAGGAGUGGAAGCGUCGACUCAGGCUGGGAGCAAAUCAGCAUGUUUGCAAAGCCUGCCCAAAAGACAAGCCUACAGGAGGUAGUGUGACAAGCCAUACUG